CAGCCGCCGCGGUAAUACGAAGGGUGCAAGCGUUAAUCGGAAUUACUGGGCGUAAAGCGUGCGUAGGCGGUGAGUUAAGUCUGCUGUGAAAUCCCCGGGCUCAACCUGGGAAUGGCAAUGGAUACUGGCAAGCUAGAGUGUGUCAGAGGAUGGUGGAAUUCCCGGUGUAGCGGUGAAAUGCGUAGAGAUCGGGAGGAACAUCAGUGGCGAAGGCGGCCAUCUGGGACAACACUGACGCUGAGGCACGAAAGCGUGGGGAGCAAACAGGAUUAGAUACCCCCGUAGUCCUGUCUCUUAUACC
rnacentral:rRNA from 1 species